UACGAAGGGGGCUAGCGUUGCUCGGAAUUACUGGGCGUAAAGGGCGCGUAGGUGGCCAACUAAGUCAGACGUGAAAUCCCUCGGCUUAACCGGGGAACUGCGUCUGAUACUGGAUGGCUUGAGUUUGGGAGAGGGACGCGGAAUUCCAGGUGUAGCGGUGAAAUGUGUAGAGAUCGGGAGGAACACCGGUGGCGAAGGCGGGUCUCUGGGCAACUCCUGACGCUGAGGCGCGAAAGCGUGGGGAGCAAACGGG
rnacentral:rRNA from 1 species